UACGUAGGGGGCAAGCGUUGUCCGGAAUCAUUGGGCGUAAAGCGCGCGUAGGCGGCCCGGUAAGUCCGCUGUAAAAGUCCAGGGCUCAACCCUGGAAAGCCGGUGGAUACUGUCGGGCUCGAGUCCGGAAGAGGCGAGUGGAAUUCCUGGUGUAGCGGUGGAAUGCGCAGAUAUCAGGAGGAACACCUAUGGCGAAGGCAGCUCUCUGGGACGGUACUGACGCUGAGACGCGAAAGCGUGGGGAGCGAACAGG
rnacentral:rRNA from 1 species